rnacentral:rRNA from 1 species
GAUGAACGCUAGCUACAGGCUUAACACAUGCAAGUCGAGGGGCAGCGGUAUCGAAAGCUUGCUUUCGGUAGCCGGCGACCGGCGCACGGGUGAGUAACGCGUAUCGAACCUGCCUCAUACUCGGGAAUAGCCUUGCGAAAGUAAGAUUAAUGCCCGGUGUUUUCAGAGUCCCGCAUGAGGCUUUGAACAAAGAUUUAUCGGUAUGAGAUGGCGAUGCGUCCCAUUAGCUUGUUGGCGGGGUAACGGCCCACCAAGGCAUCGAUGGGUAGGGGUUCUGAGAGUAAGGUCCCCCACAUUGGAACUGAGACACGGUCCAAACUCCUACGGGAGGCAGCAGUGAGGAAUAUUGGUCAAUGGGCGGAAGCCUGAACCAGCCAAGUAGCGUGCAGGAAGGCGGCCCUCCGGGUUGUAAACUGCUUUUAGUAGGGAAUAAAACGGGGCUCGUGAGCCCCCUUGCAUGUACCAUCAGAAAAAGGACCGGCUAAUUCCGUG